rnacentral:rRNA from 1 species
ACACUCCUACGGGAGGCAGCAGUGGGGAAUUUUGGACAAUGGGCGAAAGCCUGAUCCAGCAAUGCCGCGUGAGUGAAGAAGGCCUUCGGGUUGUAAAGCUCUUUUGUCAGGGAAGAAACGGUGAGAGCUAAUAUCUCUUGCUAAUGACGGUACCUGAAGAAUAAGCACCGGCUAACUACGUGCCAGCAGCCGCGGUAAUACGUAGGGUGCAAGCGUUAAUCGGAAUUACUGGGCGUAAAGCGUGCGCAGGCGGUUUUGUAAGUCUGAUGUGAAAUCCCCGGGCUCAACCUGGGAAUUGCAUUGGAGACUGCAAGGCUAGAAUCUGGCAGAGGGGGGUAGAAUUCCACGUGUAGCAGUGAAAUGCGUAGAUAUGUGGAGGAACACCGAUGGCGAAGGCAGCCCCCUGGGUCAAGAUUGACGCUCAUGCACGAAAGCGUGGGGAGCAAACAGGAUUAGAAACCCGAGUAGUCCCAUGAU